UUUCAUUCAGACCCAUGGUAGAAAGUUGAAGAAACCAGAAGUAGAAAAAACCUGCAUUUUUUUGUAUGAAAGGACAGAAUAAACAUUCUCAAAUACCAUUGCAUGCUAUAAGCUAGAUGCCACAAUGUCCCAAUUCCUAUGAACAUAAUUGCUUUUUUGCAAGAAGAUGACUUUUGCAUUAAAGAAAGUCUUGUAAAGCUAUCGGUCAAAGAUAAUGGAGGAGACAGGAACAAACAAAUGCAAUCCAAGGAAAGUACCUGGUACUUUAGAAAAUAAUACAACAUAUAUGAUUCUCUAUAAAUAUAACCUAAUCAUGGAUUCACAAGAAAUUAACUAACAGGCCCUAUCUGCACUAAAAUCAUUUUCCAAAACGCUAGUCAAUUUAGCAGCAACAUCGCCAAACCAAAGUCAUAUAUCCACACCCUCUUCUUUUAUUAUUGCUUUCUUUUUUGAGUUAAAACCAAGACUAUCAAUAGUUUAUAUCUCUAGUUCAAAUUAAACAAAAUUCUUGCAUGAACCCCUGUAAGAAAGACAACAACAAGCACAAGUUUUGACCAACAAGACAAACAAUAAAUCUGUCAUACUCAUAAUUGAUCCACUAGGAGCACACAGUAAUUUCUCCUAAUUCUAUUGAGCCUAGACUUCAUUAAGAAUCAGAGUAAAAGCUUCAAUAUAAUUAGAGUAUAUGGGUAAAAAUAAAGGAAGAACAUAUUCAAUGAACUUAGGUACGACUUUACAGUGUAUGGUUAGGGGCUUUAUUUGUUAACUGAGUACCUGGACUUGGGCAUAGUAGCUGGAGCAGUGGAUUUGCAAGCCUCGAGUUCAAGAGCUAUAUUAUCAAAUCAACAAAGCAUUUCAUGGGAAACAAAGAGGAUGAGAAUAAUAAACUGUCAGUCACGUAGCAGAAUUACACUACUCAUGAAAAAAAAUUAUUAAGCCACUUUUGGGGUUAAUAAGUAAGAGUAUGGAUAUAGCUCCUUGUCACCAUUGUGGAUACUGAGACAAGAGGGGUUGCUAUGAUGGUAAGCAACCCCCACUUCCAACCAAGAGGUUGUGAGUUCG
rnacentral:lncRNA from 1 species